CCACACUAAAGUAUCUGACAAUAUUUGAUAUAUUGGUAUAGAUAAAUAUUAACUAUAUAUUUACACGUACUUAUUCUAGUUAUUUCUCUGCUUAAAUUUGGAGUGGUACUUUUAUUGUCAUUUUAUAGUACAAUGGAUUAUAUUCUUCUUGUCGAGUCGUCAAAUUCGUCAGAAACAGUGCGCUAUGCACUACACAAAACCACAAGCCCAUGAUCACAACAAACAUCUCUAUGCAUAAUUUCGUCUCAUCUAUUCUUCCUCCUGAUGCAAGUCGGAGGGUGGAAACUCAUCUUCAAAGAUGUACAUGUGCAUGUACAUUAAUAUAUAUGCACAACCUGAUCGAGAGGCCUCGCCUGUCUGCCAGUGGAAAAUGGAAUAAUAUCAAUUUUGUCAAUUUAAUUUGUAAAUUUAUUAGCCAAGCAAAUAAUAAAAAGUAAUAAAUACUCAGUUAUUAAAUAA